GAGGGACUGGCAGAAGGGUAAUGCGUAGCUCUCCUACUGAUUGGACAAUGGGUUUCUUCCCUUGCAAAAGGGACAGAAAGUCCGGGACCAAGCUAAGCUAAGAUUGUGGGUUCGAGUCCCACGUUCCUCG
rnacentral:tRNA from 2 species